UACAGAGGGUGCGAGCGUUGUCCGGAAUCACUGGGCGUAAAGGGCGCGUAGGCGGCUUGAUAAGCGUGCGGUGAAAGCCCGGGGCUCAACCCCGGGUCGGCCGUGCGAACUGUCGAGCUGGAGCACUGUAGAGGCAGGUGGAAUUCCGGGUGUAGCGGUGGAAUGCGUAGAGAUCCGGAAGAACACCAGUGGCGAAGGCGGCUCACUGGACGACUGUUGACGCUGAGGUACGAAAGCGUGGGGAGCAAACAGG
rnacentral:rRNA from 1 species